CCCCUCGAAUUCCGUCGAGGGACGCGCUAUAUGGGGUCCGUCACCUCGGUGACUAUGGCGAUAAACACGGCUCGGGAUAAGCGUUGCGGACCCGGGGGCAGUGCCCGGCGCCUCCACCAUCCCCUUCGGGGGGCCAAGGGGGCGAAACAGGCUCGACGCGCGUGGUAAUGGGGUCGCUUUUGCCCGGCAUGGUUCCGCCGUCAUCGGGCCGAUUCUAAGUGCGAACGAUAACAGCCGCGAGGCUGUCGCACUCGCUGCCUAGGAAUAGGUAAGCGCGGUUCGGGGGGCACCGGGCAACAGAAGCCCCCCACU
rnacentral:tmRNA from 1 species